GGAGGAGGUGUAGGGAGGAGGUGUACCACCCAGCUAACAGUCCAGCUUUAAGGAGGAGGUGUAGGGAGGAGGUGUACCACCCAGCUAACAGUCCAGCUGUAGGGAGGAGGUGUAGGGAGGAGGUGUAGGGAGGAGGUGUACCACCCAGCUAACAGUCCAGCUAUAGGGAGGAGGUGUAGGGAGGAGGUGUAGGGAGGAGGGGUAGGGAGGAGGUGUACCACCCAGCUAACAGUCCAGCUAUAGGGAGGAGCUGUAGGGAGGAGGUGUAGGGAGGAGCUGUAGGGAGGAGGUGUACCACCCAGCUAACAGUCCAGCUAUAGGGAGGAGGUGUAGGGAGGAGGUGUAGGGAGGAGGAGUACCACCCAGCUAACAGUCCAGCUAUAGGGAGGAGGUGUAGGGAGGAGGUGUACCACCCAGCUAACAGUCCAGCUAUAGGGAGGAGGUGUAGGGAGGAGGUGUAGGGAGGAGGUGUACCACACAGCUAACAGUCCAGCUAUAGGGAGGAGGUGUAGGGAGGAGGUGUAGGGAGG
ensembl:lncRNA